rnacentral:rRNA from 1 species
AGACUGGGAUAACUUCGGGAAACCGGAGCUAAUACCGGAUAACAUUUAGAACCGCAUGGUUCUAAAGUGAAAGAUGGUUUUGCUAUCACUUAUAGAUGGACCCGCGCCGUAUUAGCUAGUUGGUAAGGUAACGGCUUACCAAGGCGACGAUACGUAGCCGACCUGAGAGGGUGAUCGGCCACACUGGAACUGAGACACGGUCCAGACUCCUACGGGAGGCAGCAGUAGGGAAUCUUCCGCAAUGGGCGAAAGCCUGACGGAGCAACGCCGCGUGAGUGAUGAAGGGUUUCGGCCCGUAAAACUCUGUUAUUAGGGAAGAACAAAUGUGUAAGUAACUGUGCACAUCUUGACGGUACCUAAUCAGAAAGCCACGGCUAACUACGUGCCAGCAGCCGCGGUAAUACGUAGGUGGCAAGCGUUAUCCGGAAUUAUUGGGCGUAAAGCGCGCGUAGGCGGUUUCUUAAGUCUGAUGUGAAAGCCCACGGCUCAACCGUGGAGGGUCAUUGGAAACUGGGAAACUUGAGUACAGAAGAGGAAAGUGGAAUUCCAUGUGUAGCGGUGAAAUGCGCAGAGAUAUGGAGGAACACCAGUGGCGAAGGCGACUUUCUGGUCUGUAACUGACGCUGAUGUGCGAAAGCGUGGGGAUCAAACAGGAUUAGAUACCCUGGUAGUCCACGCCGUAAACGAUGAGUGCUAAGUGUUAGGGGGUUUCCGCCCCUUAGUGCUGCAGCUAACGCAUUAAGCACUCCGCCUGGGGAGUACGACCGCAAGGUUGAAACUC